GAUGAACGCUGGCGGCGUGCCUAAUACAUGCAAGUCGAGCGAAGCGGGGACGGGUGAGUAACACGUGGAUAACCUCCUAUAAGACUGGGAUAACUUCGGGAAACCGGUGCUAAACCGGAUACUUAUACAUGGUUCCGCUCUGGAUUAGCUAGUUGGUAAGGUAACGGCUUACCAAGGCCACGAUGCAUAGCCGACCUGAGAGGUGGAUCGGCCACACUGUAACUUAGACACGGGCCAGACUCCUACGGGAGGCAGCAGUAGGGAAACUUCCGCAAUUGGCGAAAGCCUGACGGAGCAACGCCGCGUGAGUGAUGAAGGUCUUCGGAGCGUAAAACUCUGUUAUUAGGGAAGCGGUACCUAAUCAGAAAGCCACGGCUAACUACGUGCCAGCAGCCGCGGUAAUUC
rnacentral:rRNA from 1 species